AAGUCGUAACAAGGUAUCCGUAGGUGAACCUGCGGAUGGAUCAUUAAUAGUGCGAUGUAGGCAGCUGCUGCUUAUUAUCCUUAUUAUUAUAGAAACCUGUGGUCUAUAGAGAAUUGCGCCGUUCCGACCGGAGCGUGUGCAGUGUCUUACUAUCUGCCCGGAGGCUGGUUGGAUUUCCGAUAGGAAGUGUGAUGAGCAAGCGAUCGUGUGCUGCUGUGCGGCGGCGUAUGAUUGCACUUUGGGCGGUAGUGUCUAUAUAUAAACACGUCUAUACUAGCAAUACUUUGUUUUGGGUGAUUUAGCAAUUUUUGAUAUUCAAAAAAAUACAACUGCUAGCAACGGAUCACUCGGUUCUCGU
rnacentral:misc_RNA from 1 species